CUCACUUCCAACUACGUGGCAUUUUGGAGGAGCUCCACAUGGCUGUGGGCACCCAGCAUUGGCAGGGGUUGAUUGCCAGCCUCUGGCACCCUGUGGCCAGCCUUUCCUUGCCUUUCCAGGUCCUGUGGUGUCAGCCCUGGGACCCUACCCCACAGACCCAACACCCUGGUGGGCAGGUGAGAGCCAGCCCAGCCAGCUCUCUACCUGUUUUGGCUGAGUCCUGGUAGUGGCUGGAGUUGUUCUCCAGGGAACUGAUGACAGAACCAAUGAAAGACAUCUUUCUUACCCUGUAAUCUGGAAAAAUCAAACCUUUCCGGUGAAGUCUCCCCUUCUGUUGAAAGACUUUGUGAGAUUUGCACAAAUGAGUGUGUGAAAGGGAAAGGCCUCACAGCAAAGCUGCCAGGACUAUACUGGUCCUUCGAAUUUAGGAGCCGAGUCCUCUGCACUUGGUGAUGGAAUAAAGUUUUCUCCAGGAUUCCUGUUUUAUGAAUGUGAGAGUCAGACCAGACAGACAGACCUCUUUUGACUUGGGUGAUCUGAGUACAACCAUAUUGGAGUUGAGAACUGUUUGUCCAUUCACUAAACUUGAUUUUGGGUGUGAGGAAUGAAGAACUGUUGUUUCCUAAAUCCAAGCAGAGGAGAUCUACAGGACACCUGGUGGAACUGGUAGGAGAUGAGUUUAAUGGACUUUUAAAAAAAAAAUCUGUGAUGGGUAUUUAUGCAACAGGUAGUGAAUUUCUGCUGUCACCCAGCA